rnacentral:lncRNA from 1 species
AAAACUAUUCAAAUUGAAACUUGAAUCUUGAUCAUUAACGAAACUGGUUCCGCUAAACUAAUGAUGGAAAAUGAUUACAUUUGAAAUAAAAUGGAAUCAUGUUAAUGUUUCUGCAAAAUGAAAUAAAAUGAAUACAUUUGAAACCAAAAUGAAUCUCGUUUCUGCAAGAUACAUAAAUCAGCAGUGCAUAACAGGGUUUAUUUCAAUGGAAAACCAAGUCCAACAUAAUGAUCCACUAAAGCUUCAUUAGUUGUUCAUCCCUGUUCCAUUCUUCACAGCAUCAGCUGCUCCUUGUGCUUUAGCCUGCAUUUGCUGCCCUGCCUGU